rnacentral:rRNA from 1 species
UACGUAGGGUGCAAGCGUUGUCCGGAAUUAUUGGGCGUAAAGAGCUCGUAGGCGGUCUGUCGCGUCUGCUGUGAAAACCCGGAGCUCAACUCCGGGCCUGCAGUCGAUACGGGCAGACUGGAGUUCGGCAGGGGAGACUGGAAUUCCUGGUGUAGCGGUGAAAUGCGCAGAUAUCAGGAGGAACACCGGUGGCGAAGGCGGGUCUCUGGGCCGAUGACUGACACUGAGAGACGAAAGCUAGGGGGAGCGAAUGGA